CCAGCAUUCGCUGGCUGGGGAAUUCUGGGAGUUGAAGUCCAGACAUCUUCAAGUGGCCAAGGUUGAGAAACACUCGUCUAGAUGAAAAAUCACUUCCAUUCUCAUAAUUUAUUCAUACAAUCAGCCGUACAAUUACCGAUGAACAUAUAACAGUGUUUCUCAACCUUGGCCACUUGAAGAUGUCCGGACUUCAACUCCCAGAAUUCCCCAGCCAGCGAAUGCCAAGGUUGAGAAACCCUGCCCUGGAGUAUACCAUCUGUAAACUGAGAAAACUCUGGUCAAGGUUAAAACAAAAGUGGGAUGCUAGCUGAGAAAAUACAUUAUAUUAAAAAAAAAAAAAACCCCAACCCUGCCGUCGCCCCACGAGGGAGCUGGCGUUACUGGCAAAACCUCCCGAUCUGAAAGGAUUAUCCCUGCCAGCCGUUACAGACCCGUCAAGGCGGCCUGGGCGACGUGUCCUCGAGAGGAGAGGUAGCAAGUUCACGCCGCAAUUUCUCCCCACGCGUUCGGAGCCUCAAGCCUUUAAGGAGGCUGGCGAAGGGGACACACACACGGGGACUUCACGGGAUACACGGAGACGAGGAAACGCCGCGUGCUCUUCUCCGCAGAAAGGCAAAGGCUUUCCGGGGAAGGCGAAGAAGCAGCAGCAAAACCCCAAACGGACGGAACUGGAGGGUGGAAUAAAUCACCAGGAAAUCUGGGAAGCGUCCCAGCUCUUUUUUCCCAGGAAGAAAAGAGGGUAACGCGCAGCAAGAUGGAUGGACUCUUUACAGUUAUGAUGAUGGAUGCACCAUUAGAAGAGUGGAAAGAACAGCUGAAGAGAGAUCUCACAAGAGAAAAUCUAUGCAGGCUGAGCUCACCCGGCAACUGGAUUAUAUGCUGAUUGGACCAGAACUGCCAGACAAAAAAUAUGGAGAUGAAAAUUAAGCUACAAAAGUUUUCCUUAACAAGAGGUCAAGAGAAAGCUCAUCUUCAGGAACUUCUCCCGAGAUGGUCUACAGAAUGGCGGGGCAGGGCUGUCUUAGAGCCAAGGUGGCGCAGUGGUUAAAUGCAGCACUGCAGGCUACUGCUAGAUCAGCAGUUCAGCGGU